AGAAAAACCUUCCUGUGAAGGCAAAAGCUAAGAAAAAGAAGAAAGAUGCCACUGUGAUUCCUACUGCGCCACUUGAUAGCCCCGCAAUGAGUACAAGAAGCAAAACUUUCAUCCCCGCUAGCCCUGCAAUGAGCACAAGAAGCAAAAGAAGGCUCAGCUUGUGAUUCUAAUGUGUUCUGUUCAUGUACUGUGUCUAAUGAGAGGUGCUUCUAUGCUUUGCCAUGUGAUUUUUGUGGACUUUACCUCUCACAUACAUGAUGUAAGUGAGACUAAGUGAAACUGGAGGUGCUUUUGGACCUGAUCGUGUGAUGUAUUUGGACUAGACCUCAACUAUGAUAUAAACUGUAGGAUCAGUACUGAUAUUGCAUUGUUAUAAAAUGUCUAUGCAUAUAUAUCUUAAUUGUGUGUUCAGA
rnacentral:lncRNA from 1 species